ensembl:snRNA U7 U7 small nuclear RNA
CAGGUUAAGUGCUCUUUUAGCAUUUCUCCAGUAGGCUUCCUCAAGGAGAAAGCCCCC